AGAGUUUGAUCAUGGCUCAGAUUGAACGCUGGCGGCAGGCCUAACACAUGCAAGUCGAGCGGAAACGAGUUAUCUGAACCUUCGGGGAACGAUAACGGCGUCGAGCGGCGGACGGGUGAGUAAUGCCUAGGAAAUUGCCCUGAUGUGGGGAUAACCAUUGGAAACGAUGGCUAAUACCGCAUAACACCUACGGGUCAAAGAGGGGGACCUUCGGGCCUCUCGCGUCAGGAUAUGCCUAGGUGGGAUUAGCUAGUUGGUGAGGUAAUGGCUCACCAAGGCGACGAUCCCUAGCUGGUCUGAGAGGAUGAUCAGCCACACUGGAACUGAGACACGGUCCAGACUCCUACGGGAGGCAGCAGUGGGGAAUAUUGCACAAUGGGCGCAAGCCUGAUGCAGCCAUGCCGCGUGUGUGAAGAAGGCCUUCGGGUUGUAAAGCACUUUCAGUCGUGAGGAAGGUAGUGUAGUUAAUAGCUGCAUUAUUUGACGUUAGCGACAGAAGAAGCACCGGCUAACUCCGUGCCAGCAGCCGCGGUAAU
rnacentral:rRNA from 1 species